rnacentral:rRNA from 1 species
GUGCACGCUGGCGGCAGGCCUAACACCUGCCAGUCGCACGGCAGCGCCAGAGAGCUUGCUCUCUGGGUGGCGAGUGGCGGACGGGUGAGGAAUGCAUCGGAAUCUGCCCAUUUGUGGGGGAUAACCUCGGGAAACCGGGACUAAUACCGCAUACGACCUACGGGUGAAAGCAGGGGAUCUUCGGACCUUGCGCAGAUGGAUGAGCCGAUGCCGGAUUAGCUAGUUGGAGGGGUAAAGGCCCACCAAGGCGACGAUCCGUAGCUGGUCUGAGAGGAUGAUCAGCCACACUGGGACUGAGACACGGCCCAGACUCCUACGGGAGGCAGCAGUGGGGAAUAUUGGACAAUGGGCGCAAGCCUGAUCCAGCCAUGCCGCGUGUGUGAAGAAGGCCUUCGGGUUGUAAAGCACUUUUGUUGGGAAAGAAAAGCAGCCGGUUAAUACCCGGUUGUCAUGACGGUACCCAAAGAAUAAGCACCGGCUAACUUCGUG